UAAGUGCUCUCAAUUGGGGUAG
rnacentral:miRNA from 1 species